CACCUCUCCCCUGGUUCUCUGGAAGAUUUGAUAAGUCUUAUUUCUCUGGCUACUUGGUUAACAUUGACUUCUGUUUUAGGAUAGGUGGAAGACAAGAUCGCCUAUGCUUUAUUAUAGCCACUCCACCAGCCUGAGGGGAAACAAGGCAAGUCUGAGGACUCCAUUGCACAUGCAAGCAAGCCAACGGGAAGCUGUCAAAGGUCUGGAAUACAUUUGGAAGACAGAUGACACAGAAGAUAAUUGGCACUGCCGCCUUGAAAUGACCCUGGAGAACCAUGAGGCAGGACAAGCAUUGUGAAGUGGAGACUGCUAGCCAGCUGUUUCCUACUUCUUAAAAAAAUUAUAACACUACUUUUAAUAUUUUGGGGAGAGCCCCACUAGAAUAAAAGGCACUGAGAAGGGGUAACCUUCUUA